UUUGUUACUUCAAACCAAUCGGACUUCGGUCUGACAUCAAGUGAUAUUGAACAAUUUAGCUGAUCGCACGGUCUAAGAACCGGCGACAUAUCCUUCAAAUGUCUGCCUUAUCAACUUUCGAUGGUAGAUUAUGCGCCUACCAUGGUUGUAACGGGUAACGGAGAAUCAGGGUUUGAUUCCGGAGAGGGAGCCUGAGAAACGGCUACCACAUCCAAGGAAGGCAGCAGGCACGCAAAUUACCCACUCCCGGCACGGGGAGGUAGUGACGAAAAAUAACAAGCUGGUCUCAAUGAGUUCCAGCAUUGUAAUGGGAACAAUUUAAAUCUUUUAUCGAGGAUCUAUUGGAGGGCAAGUCUGGUGCCAGCAGCCGCGGUAAUUCCAGCUCCAAUAGCGUAUAUUAAAGUUGUUGCGGUUAAAAAGCUCGUAGUUGGAUCUAGGAUUAGGGCUACGGUCGUACAGCUUGGACGUACUGUAUGCCCGACUCCUUUUCUCUAGUAUUCGAUUGUUGCUCUUAAAUGAGUGACUUUAGUUGCUGGAACUUUUACCUUGAAAAAAUUGAAGUGCUCAAAGCAGGUU
rnacentral:rRNA from 1 species